UUGCUGGUACGCUCGUGUGUUCGAUUAGAAUAUUUGGGUUUUCAUUAUUUAAGGAGUUUCCACUUAAUUAUUCUAGGAUCUCUAACUUUGUCUUGUAUUUUCUUAUUUGUUCCUAGCUUGUUUCUUGUUACUACUCAUUCAAAUAAAGGCAACUGAAUGCAUUAUAUAACAAGUAUUAUUUUAAGGUUGUAAGCUAAUUGUGUAUAUUUGCUUAUUCGGGAUGGAUAGGAUCUACGAUUUAUAAGUUUGUCGACGACUGGAUGCUUUUGUUUAAAUGCUUUAGUAUUAUCGAUCUUAUGUAGUAGAUAUGGUUUGCAAGGCUGUUGGUUUUCCCUUGUUGGAUUUCAAUGGGCUCGGUUUUUUGUGGCCCUUCUGCGCCUUCUAUCUCCCAACGGCAUUUUAUACUCAGAAGAAACAAGCCAAUAUGGCAAUAUGAGCUGCAAAAGUUGAAGACUGCAUAGUUUUGGAGCUACAUUUUAAUUUUAGUUCAUGAUAGAUUAUACAAGUAUAAGCAUGUUGUCUGUUACAAUUCAGUGGAGGGAAACUACUGGUGCUGAGAUGUAUCAGAAACCAAGCAGGGAAAUGGGGACGUGAUGUGGGGAAAUUAAACCCACCGCCCGUAACAUAUAUCCUUGGUGAUCAAAAGGAGGUGCCACGAGGUAAAGGUAAUCGGCAAACCUUUCUAUUUUUAUGGUGGCUUUCAACAUGAAUCUGGCUUGA